rnacentral:lncRNA from 1 species
GUAUUGAAUGAUUUUUUGGUCUACUUUUAUAUAUAUAUAUAACUGUUCUUAAUCUAGAAGAAAUAUAAGCAUAACUUUUAGAUAUACUAUAUAAAUAUAUAUUUACAGAUAUAUAUAUGAUGUGUAGUUGAAGUAUUAAUUUACAUUUGAAUUAAUAUAUAUUACAUAAGAAUUUCAGGAAUGCUUGCCAUUCUCACUUAGCUUUAUACUGACCAAGAGACCUGAGAGGAUUUCUCAUGCCCAUUAAUUGCUGAUAUUCUAAACCACUCACUGAAGGCCUCGUUGGAGUCUGUGUUAGUUUCCUGUGGCCACUGUAAAAAUUACCACACAAUUGGUGGCUUAAACAACAUAAAUUUCUUCUCUUACAGUUUUGGAGGACAGAAGUCUAAAAUCAAGGUGGUAUGUUCUGAGGUUCAUGUCCCCCCAGAAUUCACAUGUUGAAACUCUGCCAUCUAAAGCGAUGGUAUUAUUUCCUCUGGAAGGUAAUUCCGGUCAGAUGAGGUCAUGGGUGGAGCCGCAUGAAUGGUGUUAGUGCUGUUGGAAGAACCAUGGGGACCCUCCUCUCCGUGAGAGGAUACAAUGUGAAGUCAGCAGGCUUCAACCCAGGAGAGGGUUUACACCAGAACCUGACCGUGCUAGCACCCUGAUUUUGGGCUUCCAGGCUCCAGAACUACGAGAAAUAAGUUUCUGUUGUUUUUAAUGUUGAAAGUUUAGCUAAACUGCUCCAUAUUGUUGCCUCAGCAUCCAUUUUGUGUGGUUACGUAGCCUCCAGGGGCCUUGAACUGCGUAGCCCCUCCCUAGAGCGCAUGCCUUAAAGAACAGCCUGCAGAGUCACAGCGACCAAUCCAGCCUUAGCCUGGGAACCCCAAAACAUUCUACCCUUGGACUCUAAUAAAAGCGUAUGUCCCAGAUCCUGCUGCUCAUACUCUGCCUGCACCCUGCCUUGACCUCCCUGUGUGGCUCCUCGAGAUACCUCCUCCAGGACCUGAACCACAUCUAACCACACCCCUUCAAAUCAUCUACCUGCAAAGAAGGAGGGGAAACCCAGAUGUCAGCAGAACAGAGGAGCGGAAGGAUAUUGGAAGAGCAGCAGUUAUAGCAUCUCAAAGAGCGAGUGUUAUGGACAAGAGCCCCGGCGAAGGCCACUGUGCCGUGUGACACCUCCGAUGCCUCAUUUAGAGGGAUUUCAAAAGGAUUAAAUAAUGUAUAUAAAGCAUGCAACAAGGGUUAAAAAAAAUGUGAUUUUGGUCCUCUUGGUUUCUCUGAUGCUGCUGGGGCUCCCAUUUGCCUGAAGGGGCAUUCCUGUGAGUCAGCAUCCUCUCUAAUCAACAUGUUGCAGAAAAGUGUUUACACACAACAUCCAGAGAAGAGGUGGGAUGCCUACCACAGCAUGGCAUGCCUAGCGGUGCCAUGUCCGCAGCCGGGAUCUGAACUGGCGAACCCUGGGUCUCUGAGAAGUGGAACAUGCGAACUUAACCACUGCACCACCGGGACUAUAAUUGUCUGGAGCAGAAGAGAAAAGAUUGAUGUCUGGAUGAGAACAAGAGAACUGAGAAGAUUAAAUUAUUUCAGUAUGAAUCAAAUCACUCAUCUCUUUUCUGCUUAUUGGCUAGAUCACAAAGACGGUUUUACCGACUCUGACUUUUUAUGUCACUGGCCAUGUGGAAUCCUUACAUGCUGCUAGGUCCCCUGUUCUCAUAUUUCAUAGAAGUUCAAAGUAAGAUGAUAUAUCGCAAUUUGCAUUUAUCCUAGAGUUUGUAUAGGUGUUGCAUUUUAGUCUACUAUUCGGGAACAUAUGUAACACAUGGUACAAGGUUAAAAUGAGGA